UUCACUGGUGCACAUCCUUCGUGUUGUCUUCCUUGACAUUUCAGCCCAUUCAAAAAAUUAUACUUUCCAUCACCAAAUAGCUUGAUUUCAUCCCUUUUAGGCAACCAUUAGUCCAGGAUUGGUAUUACAUAUUCUAUAUAUUUCCAAUUGCAUCCAAUUGCAAGUUUUGGUAGGUUAGGGAUCUCCAUUUUGUUAUUGGUCCGAUCGGUCUGCUCUGAGCUUCUUCAACUGUAAGUGCUCCACUCUUGUUGUUGUAGAAUCUAUUCAAAUCACUACUUGCUUGGGAUUGAGGAGGCAGAGUAGUUAUUGUUGUGUUGAGUCUAUUGAAACGAGGACUGGACUGGAUGGACUGGUUAUGAUUCUCCAAAGUCCGAGCUACUGGUUGAAUGCUUGAGUAAAUGCCUAGUGAACAUUAUGUUCUUGCAUUCACAAGCUAAGUAAAAAAUAAGUUAUCUGUUUUAACGAUAAUCAAGAGAUAAAAAAGAAGAUUAGGCAAAGCUAGAUAUUUGUAAAUGUAAGGGUUGUGUGCUCUUGUUUAAUGUCCACGGUCUCGUCAUGCUCUUGGUUGUGUCUGUUAGAGUGGGUAAAAGUCCACAUUGGUUGGGAAUGGACGGGUGGUCUCUUAUAUGGACUUUGGCAAUUUUUCCCUCAUGAGCUAGCUUUUGGAGCAUGAGUCAGACCUAAGACCUAAUUUAAUAUAGUAUCAGAGCCAAGCCCAUCUCAAUUUGUUGUUCACCGAUGUUGGCCCAUCAGUAGAGGGAUGAGAGAUUGGUCUCUUUAUAUGGACUUAGACAAACCUCCCCCAAUGAACUAGCUUUUGGGGUAACUUUUAUGCUCAUAUCUUAGAUCUUUAAUUAAAUGAAAAACCUCUUUCAUGAACUAAUCCAAAGUUUCUUCUAGGUUAAAUUUCAUUGUGUAUAAUGGGAAGAAACUUCAGCUUCUCUCUUUAUCUAAAGUACAGAAGUUUGAAAGCUGUCUUUCCUCAACAAACAGACAACAGGUAUGAGUAAGAAACUUAAUUUUAUAUAUAUAUAUAUAUAUAUUUCCACCCAAGUUGGAUCAGGUCUCUAUUUGCUAAGUGUUGUGUCAUAUCUGGAAAGUUCCCGGAAAAGGCAUGCAUGGAUUUGCCUAGUUACAUUGGAAAGAAGCACUUGAGACUUAAGUUAGUGAUAAAGUUUCAACAAGGUGGCUUUAAAUAAAUACAGUUUGUUAAAAAGAUUUGCACUAGUGAAUCAAUCGUGUCUACUUUUUAUGUUGCACAUUCUGUUGAUCGAUACUUCAGACAUUUGUUUUGCAGUUUUGUUCUUUAAGUGCAACUCCUUUCUUUGUUUCUUUCCUCAAUGCUGUUUUCAUGCAUUCUCUGGACAAACUUUUCUCUCUUUUGGGGGAGGUGGUUGGGCCAAUAAGAUAUUGAAUAAGAAAGAAAAAUUACAUUGCUUGUACAUUUGAAGGCAUCAGGAAUAAUCAAAUUACUCUUGUACUUGAUUGCUAAGACCUACUACAUUCUAAAGCAAAAUUGUAUAUGUUUUGAGUACAAACACUUGAAAGUUUUCCCAACAUUUCCACCUUUUGUCCUAACUAUUAUAGAGAAGACGACAUUUGGCCAAGUACCGACACACAAUUAUCCCUGGACUCUUUUAGGACCAAAGUAGAGGUUAACAAGGAUAAAAAAGUAUAAUAUGGCUCAUCUUUAAGUCCUAGCUAGUGCCACCCCUAGCCCUUUCCAUACGAAUUAAAUGCCUUCACUAUUCCUGCUAACGUCCUUCUUCAACUGUAAUCGUCACCUGAUUGUUGGAUACGAUGUAUUUCUUAUCGGAGGAAGAAGAAGAUGUACUAGAAGCAUGUGUCCUUAUUACAAAAGCUGGUCUAUUAGGUGUUGGAAGGUUAGUACCUUCCCCUCCCAGCAUUAAAAUGACAUCUGACAUAUUAGGACGAUGAUUUGGAUCUUCUUGUACACACAGGAGUGCAAUAUUUAUGCACUUCAAUGCUUCACUUUUGUUGCAUGAUUCAAGUAGUGACUUCUCUAUUAAUUGUAUCUCAGUUUUUUCUGUCCACAAUUUCCAUGCCUGUGAUAAUUUUUCUAUCAGAGAAACAAAGCUAAGAAGAAGAUAUAAUAAUUAAGUCAUGGGAAGUUUCUUCACUUACAUAGCCCAACAAGUUUAAGGCUUCUUCUGACUGAUAAAAUCCUGUAUUCCUUCUUCCACUGAUUAUCUCAAGUACGACUACUCCAAAACUGAAUACGUCUGAUUUGAUGGAAAACAAUCCAUCUAGUGCAUAUUCAGGAGACAUAUAGCCGCUAGAUUUCAUCAGGUGAACAAAACAUUUGAGUAUAAGAUCUUAUCCAAAGCUCCUUUUGUAAGAAAUUAAUGACAGGAAGAGAUAUAAUACUUACUAGGUCCCCACUACUUUCUUUGUAUUUGCUUCUGUUACUUUUCCUUCAACAAUCCUUGCCAAGCCAAAAUCUGAAAUUUUCGGGUUCAUCUCCUCAUCUAAUAAAAUGUUACUGGUUUUUAAAUCUCUAUGAAUGAUCCUUAGUCGUGAAUCAUGGUGAAGAUAAGAUAGACCCCGUGCAAUGCCCAGUAUGAUGUCAUAACGUUUCUUCCAAUCCAAUAAUUGACAAAGUGUUCCAUCUUGCAUCGUUACCAUGACAAAGUUUGGUACGUCAAUAAAAUUAGAUCAUUAUAAGAAAUGUAUGACUUUGAGAAUAAAGAACUUAACAAGGCUAACUCACCAAAUAUGAAUGUAUCUAAACUUUUAUUCGGCAUAUAUUCAUAAAGUAAUAUUUGUUCCGUUGCAUUGAUGCAAUAACCCAAUAGCCUCACCAGAUUUCGAUGUUGAAGCUUUGCAAUUAGAGUCACUUCAUUCUUAAAUUCAUCUAUGCCUUGUCCUGAUUGACUGGAUAACGUUUUUACUGCAAUUUCUUUUUCGCCCGGAAAGAUACCCUGCAAAAAAAAUUCAUCUCAUUACUAUAGGUCAAUAUGGCCAUGCCAGUCCAUAUAGAUGUAGGAAUGAAGUUUGAACCUUGUAAACAGGACCGAAUCCUCCUUGUCCGAGCUUAUUCGCAUUUGAGAAGUUGUCUGUAGCUUCCAAAAUAGUCUCCAAGUGAAAAUAUGGAACAUCAAUCGCUUCAUCACUGUUUUCAUUCAUUAAUACUUUUGCUUCUCCUUCAGCUUUGUGCCAGUGAGAUUUAUGUGCCCCUUGAAUACCUUUACUUCUAUCUGAUUGAGAAUGACCUUUGAAAGUAAGUUCAAAAUGCUAUAAGAGAAAAUAUCUUUCAGAGUAAGAUUCAUUCAGCAACUACCUGCUCUUUUUGCAAUUCUUCUUUUAUAGUAAAUGUAGCUAAUGCUGCCUAUGAGUAGAAACAUCAAAACUGAUAUUGACGAAAGGAUUGCUUUUAGCUUCAUCGACUUCUUAGCUUUAGUUUGAGCUGAAAGGAGAAUCAUUGUUGUUAAGUGCUAAUGGUUAAUAAGGAAUUCUAUCCAUAACAUAGUACUUAUAUGAAAUAAAGAAUCAAGCUAUGUUAAUAUGCUAUUCUAACCUUCAGGUGAGCCGCGUUUGACAAAUAUUGUCCUUUUUGACUCAGUUGUGCUGAGUUGUUCCAGAUUGAACAGAUCCCCUGUCCAGAUGGAACAGGUACCGGAACCAUCAUAAGUAUAAGCAGUGCAAGAGCAAUCGUUGAAACAUGCAGAUCUACACUGUGAGGCUGUCCCAACUGUGAUAUUAGUAUUAUGAGAAGCAGGUACUCUCACAAUUGAAGUUAUCCAUAAACUAUCUUUGUCUUCAGUAAUUGCAUCACACUGCACCUUUUCGUCUGUUACACAGCCACUGGAAUAAUCAUUUGAAUUCCAUUCUGCAUCUGAUCUUUGCUUGAAACCACUCAAACAAUUGCAGGUUGCAUUAGCUUCAUCACAAACUCCAAAUGCCCCACAUAUAGCAUAAACCUGACAAGAUUCUCUUGGUUGAGUCCAGAAUAAAUUCCAAUCAAUGCUACCAUCCAACCAUGACAGUUGCUUAAUUUGUCCCGAG
rnacentral:lncRNA from 1 species